rnacentral:misc_RNA from 1 species
GAAAUGCGAUAUGUAAUGUGAAUUGCAGAAUAGUGAAUCAUCGAAUCUUUGAACGCACCUUGCGCCUUUCGAGGCAUGCUGGUUUGAGCGCCUUAUAACCCUGGACUAUCAGCUCGCUGUUAGACCGAUUUGAGUGUUGCCGUAGGCUCGCUCUGAAUGCAUUAGCGAUUGAAGGCUUGUCACAGUGUAAUAAGAUUCCAUUGUAGCAAGUCCUAGACCGCUCCUAACCGUCCUCGGACAACACCAUGAACUAGGCAUCAAAGUAGUAGGACUACCCGCUGAACUUAA